rnacentral:RNase_P_RNA from 1 species
AUUGCCAACUGCUCUAUCGCGGUUCCGGUGGGGAAACCUGCCGGAAAUGAGGAAAGUCCGGACAACGUAGAGCACCACACCAUCUAACGGAUGGGCUUUGCUUCGGCAAAGACAGAAAGUGUCGCAGAAAAUAACCGCCCCUUAGGGGUAAGGGUGAAAACGUGCGGUAAGAGCGCACGCUUCUUCCUGGCAACAGGAGGAGGGGAUAAACCUUGUGGGUUGAAAU